AUUGAACGCUGGCGGGAUGCUUUACACAUGCAAGUCGAACGGCAGCACGACUUCGUCUGUAGGGCGAGUGGCGAACGGGUGAGUAAUGUAUCGGAACGUGCCUAGUAGCGGGGGAUAACUACGCGAAAGGUAGCUAAUACCGCAAGGGCCGGCCCUUCGGGGGAAAGUGGGACCUUCGGGCCUCGCACUAUUAGAGCGGCCGAUAUCGGAUUAGGCCAGUUGGUGGGGUAACGGCUCACCAAGGCGACGAUCCGCAGCUGGUUUGAGAGGACGACCAGCCACACUGACUGAGAUAUCGGGCCCAGACUCUACGGAGGCAGUGGGGGAAUUUUGGACAAAUGGGGGAAACCCUGAUCCAGCUACCCCAAGGUGCGAUGAAGGCCUUCGCUGUAAAGACUUUUGGCAGGAAAGAAACGGCACGGGACAAUACCCCGUGCAACUGACGGUACUCGCAGAAUAAGCACCAAAUAACUACGUGCCAGCAGCCGCGGUAACAUGUAGGAAAAGCGUUAAUCGGAAUUACUGGGCGUAAAGCGUGCGCAGGCGGUUCGAAAGACGAAAAUCCCAGAGCUUAACUUGAACUGCAUUUUUAACUACCGAGCUAGAGUGUGUCAGAGGGAGGUGGAAUUCCGCGUGUAGCAGUGAAAUGCGUAGUGAUAUGCGGAGGAACACCGAUGGCGAAGGCAGCUUCUGGGAUAACACUGACGGCUCAUGCACGAAAGCGUGGGGAGUAAACAGGAUUUAGAUACCCUGGUAGUCCACGUUCUAAACGAUGUCAACUAGCUGUUGGGGCCUUCGGGCCUUGGUAGCGCAGCUAACGCGUGAAGCGACCGCCUGGGGAGUACGGUCGCAAGAUUAAAACUCAAAGGAAUUGACGGGGACUCGUGCUGCCGGUGGAUGAUGUGGAUUAAUCUGAUGCAACGCGAAAACCUUACCUACCCCUUGACAUGUCUGGAACCCGUAAGACGGGAGGCUUGCGCGAGAACCGGAACACAGGUGCUGCAUGGCUGUCAAGCCAGCUCGUCAGAGAUGUUGGGUUAAGUCCUGGCAACGAGCGCAACCCUUGUCAUUAGUUGCUACGAAAGCGGCACCAACGAGACUGCCGGUGACAAACCGGAGGAAGGUGGGGAUGACGUCGAAGUCCUCGCGGCCCUUAUGGGUAGGGCUUCACACGUCAUACAAUGGCCGGACAGAGGGUCGCCAACCCGCGAGGGGAGCCAAUCCCAGAAACCCGAUCGUAGUCCGGAUCGCAGUCUGCAACUCGACUGCGUGAAGUCGGAAUCGCUAGUAAUCGCGGAUCAGCAUGUCGCGGUGAAUACGUUCCCGGCCCUACACACCGCCCGUCACAAUUACGGGAGUGGGCUUCACCAGAAGUAGUUAGCCUAACCGUAAGGAGGGCGAUUACCACGGUAGGAUUCAUGACUGGGGUGAAGUCGUAACAGCAGUAG
rnacentral:rRNA from 1 species